CUUGGGCAACAUAACGAGCUGGGAUUUUUAACUGGUGGAGCGACCCAAACCUUCACACCUAAGGUGUACAAGCCUUUACUGAUCCUACAUGCUGUUCCGUUAAGUUUUAAAAUUGGACUUGGCAGAACCAGAAUGAGUGCUAGAGGAUUUCCUGAGUUGAAGUCCUGAGUUCCCAGGUGGCAAACGAUACCAACUUUUCUUCCUCAUGAUGAUUUCCAGAAGUGAAAAAACGAAAUCCAGAACACACUGUCUUCUUAGGAAACAUGAUGCCAGAGUUACUAGAAGAAAGAUGAAAAGGCCCACCAGAGAGGUGAUGGUGGGCAAGAGUGGUCUUCAGAACUGCAAGGGAGCUCACUGACUCCUGCAGACCCACCAGCCCAACUGCCUGGAAACUGCCAUUGUCCAAGAUAAUCUCCCACUUCGGGCCCCCAAUUUCAGUCUCCCAACAACGCGGGAUUCCGCCUCCAUCCGAUCCAGUGAUUGCAUCCAGUUCUUGGAGCAGCAUGGCGUCCACAGCCGUUUCUGCGGUGCCGUUAUCAACAUAGCACCAGAUUAUCCACCCAGUCUGAGAAUUUAACGCUGCAACUUCGUUUUUCUCUGUGGCUAAAACCAACUUUUUGGAUCCAGGGAAAAUUCCAAGACGGCAAACCUGAGCUUCCCUAAAUACCGCUGUCUCCAAACUUCCCCCCUUGGUCUCUAUAGACAGCAGCUGCACGGAUACGCAGGGAAGCCCAGAGUCAGAAACCAAAAGCCUACGGGCACAGCCGUGCUGGGAGCCUAGGCCCCGCCCGCUGCCGGCCCAGCAUGCACCGCGGCGCAGGCUCGGACUCCGCGGAACCUGAGAGUUGGCACCACACGCAACA